rnacentral:siRNA from 1 species
CACCAAUUUCCUUCUCCAUAUACA